rnacentral:lncRNA from 1 species
GCACUGCGAUUGAAGGAAUUCGUUCGUGUGGACUGUGUAGAGACGUUGUCAUCGUUCAACGUUCGUGAUCACCCCGUGGAUCUGUAUCAAAGGUUUUGAUCAUUAUCAGAGAUCUGCACCAAAAGUUUGAAUCGCCACAAGAGGUAAUGAUUCUAUCACUGAUCAUCCCCAUUCGUAAGGAUCACUAAAUGGAGAAAUUUUUAAAUUCCACUGCGCCUUAGAUGGCAAUUC